rnacentral:rRNA from 1 species
UACGUAGGGUGCAAGCGUUGUCCGGAAUUAUUGGGCGUAAAGAGCUCGUAGGCGGCUUGUCGCGUCGGCUGUGAAAACCUGGGGCUCAACCCCGGGCCUGCAGCCGAUACGGGCAAGCUAGAAUUCGGUAGGGGAGACUGGAAUUCCUGGUGUAGCGGUGGAAUGCGCAGAUAUCAGGAGGAACACCGGUGGCGAAGGCGGGUCUCUGGGCCGAUAUUGACGCUGAGGAGCGAAAGCGUGGGGAGCGAACAGG